rnacentral:tRNA from 1 species
CGCGGGAUGGUCCGCGGCCCGGGAACCUCGCGUGGCUGGCGCGCGACGGCGCCGCUGAGCCGAGACGACGCGUGGAUCAUCUUCACGUCCGGCUCC